rnacentral:tRNA from 1 species
GCGGACGUAGCUCAGUGGUAGAGCAUCACCUUGCCAAGGUGAGGGUCGCGGGUUCGAAUCCCGUCGUCCGCU